rnacentral:piRNA from 1 species
UGCUAGAUAUAAUCGAUGGUGAGCAGG